rnacentral:lncRNA from 1 species
AUGUUUUUUUGUAUAUCUUCAUUAUUUAAUAAUGAUUUAUCAAAUAAAUUUUCUAAAGAUAUUACAUUUCUUUUUUCUGCCAUCUCAACCGUAUCUUUUUCAACUGUAUCUUUUUCAACUGUAUCUUUCUCAACCAUAUCUUUCUCAACCAUAUCUUUCUCAAACGUAUCUUUCUCAACUGUAUCUUUCUCAACCGUAUCUUUCUCAACUGUAUCUUUCUCAACUGUAUCUUUCUCAACUGUAUCUUUCUCAACCGUAUCUUUCUCGUGUGCUUCUUUCUUAUUCCUGUCAUCAUUUAUAUUUUCUUGGACCACAGAAUUUGAGUUUGUUGAUUCAUUUACAUUAUUGACAGUAUGUUUCAAUUCAUUUUUUUCAAUAUAUUCUUUUUGUUUUUCCUGUCCUUGUUCAUUUUUAUCAUGUCCACUCGGGUUUGCAUUAUUAAUAGUUGUAACAACAGAUGUAGUGGCAACCGUAUCAUUAACUGUUGUAGUAGUGAUAGCCAUGACAUUCUCUUCUUCUUUUUUCUGAUUUUCUAUUAUUAUUUUAUUACUUUUAUUACUUUUGUUAUAUGUAUUACUACUACUACGACUACUAUUAUUAUUAUUACUACUAUUAUUAUUAUUACUACUAUUAUUAUUACUACUAUUAUUAUUAUUACUAUUAUUACUAUCACAUUUUACAUUUUCCUUAGCAACAUUUUCCAAAUAAUUCUCAACACAUUUUAUGCGUUCAGUUGAAGACAUAGUUGUACUGUUAUCAUUACUUUCAUCAGGUAUAUAAUUAUUUAUAUUAUUAUGAACAUUGUCAUAAUUAUUAGUAUAAUAACUUUCUUUCUCAUUAUUAACAGUUAAUGUUGGAUGACACAUUUUAUGUAUGUUUUUGUUUUCGUUUAUUGAAAAGUUUGUUAUUAAUCCAUUCAAAGCAUCAUCCUCUAUUUUUACAUUUUUUAUCACCAGUGUCAGAUUGUAUUAAUAACUUUUCCGAUAAAUAAGAACAUACUUCUUUUUCAGCGUAUUUUUUUUCUGAAUUUUCAAAAUUAUCAUUUACGAAAUUUGUACAACUUUUUAAAUCCAUUUUUGUAAAUACAAAUUGUUAAAAAAAAAAAAAAAAAAAAAAAAAAAUUUAUUAAAAUACAGUAUAAAAAUGUAACAAUAAUACAUUUACAAAAUGCUACUAUUUUGUAUUCACAAAUACACAUAUACGUAUAUGAAUAUGCUGUAAAUCAUGAAUAUAUAUAUAUAUAUAUAUAUAUAUGUAUGUAUAUGUAUAUUUUUUUGUUUUGUUUUAUUGUACCAUAAUUUAUAAUUUAAAAAAAUUAUGGGUGUAUAUAUAUAUAUAUAUAUAUAUAUAUAUAUAUAUACAUACAUAAAUAGAAAUUUAUAAAGUUAUGUAAAUUUUAACAUCUGUAAAAAAUAAUUAAAAAUUCAUAAGAAAUGGAGGGGGUAACAGAAAUUACAUAUAACUAUGAACUCGUGUUUUACAUAGAUGUAUAUGCUCAUAUAUUUAUGUUCAUAUAUUUAUGUUCAUAUAUUUAUGUUCAUAUAUUUAUGUUCAUAUAUUUAUGUUCAUAUAUUUAUGUUCAUAUUUUAAUGUUCAUAUAUUUAUGGUGCAAACACUUAUGUAUGUAACUACUUAAUGAUUUAAUAUAUUUUUUUAAAAAAAACAGUAUAAUAAAAUAAAACAAUAACAAAGUUCA